rnacentral:rRNA from 1 species
GACUACCCGGGUAUCUAAUCCUGUUUGCUCCCCACGCUUUCGCACCUCAGCGUCAGUAUCGGGCCAGUGAGCCGCCUUCGCCACUGGUGUUCUUCCUAAUAUCUACGAAUUUCACCUCUACACUAGGAAUUCCACUCACCUCUCCCGAUCUCGAGACUUCCAGUAUCAAAGGCAGUUCCAAGGUUGAGCCUUGGGAUUUCACCCCUGACUUAAAAAUCCGCCUACGUGCGCUUUACGCCCAGUAAUUCCGAACAACGCUAGCUCCCUUCGUAUUACCGCGGCUGCUGGCACGAAGUUAGCCGGAGCUUCUUCUCCGGGUACCGUCAUUAUCUUCCCCGGCGAAAGAGUUUUACAAUCCGAAGACCUUCAUCACUCACGCGGCAUGGCUGGAUCAGGCUUGCGCCCAUUGUCCAAUAUUCCCCACUGCAGCCACCCGUAGG